UUCCAGACUCAGAACAAAAUGAUUUGUGCUCACUUUUUUUCCCACGUAAAGUUGUUUUGGUUAGAUUUUUUUUAUGUAACUGUGACCAAAAACGCUGGAACUUAAGAAAUUUGUAACAUGGUGAGUACAGUUCGCAGCACCGCAAAUCCAGAUUUAAGAGUAAGCUUAAUUUCUUAACAUUUUGACAUAUGUAAAAUGAACAUGUACGUAACACAAGGCAGCAGGUUUUCCACAACACAAGGACCCCGGAAACGGAAGUCUUGACGCUCGGUGUGAGACCUCUUGAACCUCCAGCAAUCCGUCGUCUACCAAAAACUCCCACCGCCACUGAAUUUAACCCUCUAUGGCAUUGUGUUGUCCUCAGGCAACAAACCACUAUUUUGGCCCACACACCGCCCCUUUAAAUUUUUUAAGUAAAACAUCACAUUAAAAGUCUGAUGAUAUGUCUGUGACCAAUGAAAUUUGAGCUGGACGUGGCUUUGACCUUUGUCUUGGGGUGAAACAAUCCUUUUUUGGACCGCAGCUGACUUGGACACAGCGCUAGCAGAAGGAAAUGGAUGCACAAAGAUUUUAUGGGCGUAAGGAACAUGAUCAAGCGGUUAGGCUCAUUCCUUCUGACAGUGAGGACAGUGAGCUUGAGGAGAGUGACAGUGAGGAAGAGUGGACUCCAAAAUCAGAGGACCUGCCUGAUGACAAUGAGUCUGUGGAUGAAGAGGAAAAUGAAGAUGAUGAAGUAUCACAGGAAGCUGUUCCACGCUUACCCCGUUGGAGAACACCCCACAGUGCCAAUAUCACUGAUUACCCAGAAUGGCAGGCCAGUCUUCCAAAAUCAGAUCAUAUCAAUUCCCCCUACAAAUUCUUCAAGAUGUUUUUUUCUGAAGACAUUCUGGAAGUAGUUGUAGAGCAGUCAAAUUUAUAUGCCAUUCAGUGUGACACCAACAAGCCCCUUAACCUCGCUAAAAAAGAACUGGAACAAUUUAUGGGUACAGCAGUAUACAUGUCAUUGUUUGGAUUACCAGGCACCCGCAUGUUUUGGAACAAAGCCACCCGAGUGUCCCAGGUAGCUGACACCAUGGCACUAAAGAUGGGAGUUAAUUAAAAAAUCCCUGCACUUCAACAACAAUGAAAUGAGACAACGAGAAAAUAUUGAUCCACUCCACAAAAUCCGACCACUGGUCACUUACCUCAAAGCUGCAGACAAUACCAAUGAGUGAGAAGUUGGCUGUAGAUGAGCAGAUGGUCCCUUUCAAGGGAAGAAAUACACUCAAGCAAUACCUACCAGCUAAGCCAAAGACAGGGGGUACAAGAUAUUCAUCUUGGCUGGCUCUGAUGGUGUUCUGCACAAUUUUGAGAUUUACACAGGGAGAGUUGUGCAACCACCUGAGCUGCCAGAUGUAGGAGCAAGUGGCAAUGUUGUCCUCCGCCUGGCCCAGCCAAUACCCAGACAGCAGAACUACAAGGUGUUCUUUGACAACUGGUUCAAGAGUGUCCCUCUCAUUCUCACACUUGCUCAGCAGGAAAUUCACUGUACUGGUACUGUUCGUAGCAACAGACUACCAGGUGUCAACUUGAUGUGUGAUGUUGAGUUGAAGAGAACUGGGCGUGGAUCUUUUGAACAGAAGACGGCCAUGGUUGGAGAAAUCACCUUGCAUGCCGUGAAAUGGUAUGAUAACCGUUCAGUCAGUCUUCUCAGCAAUUACAUUGGAGCACACCCAGUCACCGACGUUGAUAGGUGGGAUGGCAAGCAAAAAAAAAUCAUCAAAGUUCCCUGUCCUGCUGUGGUGAGAGUUCAAUAAGAAUAUGGGUGGAGUGGAUCUGCCAGACUCCCUCAUUGCACUGUACAGCAACAAAAUCAGGUCGAAAAAAUUGUAUCAUCGGCUAAUGUUCCACUUUAUCGACAUGACCAUCGUGACUGCCUGGCUGCUCUACAAGAGAGACUGCAGCAGCACUGGGAUGAGAAAAGAGGAACAGAUGAGGCUUUAUACAUUCAAGUCAUAUAUUGCAGAAAGCUUGUGCAAAAGUGGCAAGAAUCUGGAGCGUAAGAGAGGUCGUCCCAGUUCCACAAUUGCU